GCAAAAGACUGGUUUAGUCUUUAUGUGAGACAUCAUGAAUCGUGUCCCAUAUGCUUCGGAUAUAGGAUCGAUUACAUGUGCUAUAUUCAUCCUUUCUAAAAUUUUCCAAAUGCCUAGGGCAUUAAGAAGGGAAAAGGUUUAGAACUGGAUAUGACUAAAAGGAUUAAACAAUUGUCGAGGACAAUCUAAGGUUUACCAAAGAUUGUUGCUUAGGGACAGUUGGAAGUAUAGUGUUAAUUGUUGGAAGGGCCAUAUUGACAUAUUCUGAAAAAAGGCAACUCUUGUUCAGAAGUGAUAGUCAAAAGGGCAAUAUGGAAAUGAUCCCAUAGGUGGAAGUUGUUCAAUAAAUCUGUUGAAGAUUAGGAAACUUAAUGCAAGAAGGAUGUUUCCAAGGAGUUGAUCUCAUUUGGAAUGCUCUGUAAUGUUUGUUGUCAAGUCUUUGUGACUUUAUGCAUAGUCAUUACAAGAGGAUCAAUGCAUAUAAGUUUAGAAUCUAACAGAUUUCAGUAAAUGGCAUGAAUUUGGAAUUCUUGCAUUUGCAGUAAGGAUUUGGGAGUGUGAAAAGAGAAUCAUUGAAGUUAUGUUCAAUUGAUCUAGUUCACAAAGUAAAGAUCAUAGACAAACAUAGUAUGCAUACUUGGUGUAUGGCAUGACUAGUGUUUAAAAAACAUAGUGUACAUGCUUGGAGCAUGGGACAACUAUUGUUUUAAAUUCAAGAAUAAAGUUGAUAGCUGAAACAGUAUACAAUGAAUAAUGUGUAAUCAUAUGGUGAUAAAUAAAAGGUGUUUUAUUUAUGUUCANUAAGGAUUUGGGACUGUGAAAUGAGAGUCAUUGGAGUUAUGUUCAAUUGAUAUAUGUCACAAAGUAAAGAUCAUAGAAAAAUAUAGUAUGCAUACUUGGUGUAUGGCAUGACUAGUGUUUAAAAAACAUAGUGUACAUGCUUGGAGCAUGGGACAACUAUUAUUUUUAAUUCAAGUAUAAAGUUGAUAGCUGAAACAGUAUGCAAUGAAUAAUGUGUAAUCAUAUGGUGAUAAUAUAAAAGGUGUUUUAUUUAUAUUCAUAAGUUCUGAGACCAUAUUGUAUUCAAUUAUUAUUGUGUUUCAUUUUUGCAUGUUUUGACUUCCAGCAUAAGUAGGUUAUUCUUCCUAAAUGACUAAGUUAUUCAAACUAUCCACAGUCGGUCAUAUGUUGGAAGUAGAUAUGAAUCAAGACUGUCAUGGGUUGGCUUGUAGAGGUCAUAGAUGUUGGACAAAGUGGUGCUACAACACUCAUGAGUGCUCAUAAGUUCUGAGUAUCGAAUUCAAACCGCGCUCGUUGGAAUCGCUUCAUGGAUUUUAUCAUGAGUGAUCAUGAGACGAUAAUACCUUAUAUUCUUCAAACCUAGAGAUAUGAGUUGUUACUUUGAGUUGGUUGUACAUUGAUUGCACGAAAACGCAUUGGUAACUCGAUGUUAUAAAACGUGCCUUUGUGUAUGAUUCAACAAGUAGUAGAAAUAUCCAUAUGAGUCGAAGUUUAUCCAUUCCUUUUACCUUCUGGAUAAAAGCGAUAUCUAUGGGCCCCUUGAUGAUUUGGUGAUGACAAAUGUAAGUGCUUGGCCGGGCAUGGACUGAUUUGAUUUGUUCAAUUAGUUUGUCGUCAUAAAUCGGAAAUCGGGAAACAACAAAUGGAUAGAGAGAAUGAUUUUAAUCCAUGUAUCAGUCCAUAUGAUAUCUAGAAUGGAGGAAUAUAUGAUCCCUUAUCUAAUGGACAAGUCAUUGACAAAGGUCAUAGAUCAUCGGCAAGGUCAGAGUUUGCCAGAAGCUUUUGAGAGCUACGAUUUCCAGUCGGUUCUUGAAGUGAUACUUGCAAUAAUAGUUUUAGACUUAUCCAAGUGGGAGACUGUUGGAUUAAUGUCGAAGUCCAUAACUAUAAUUGGUAAGACUUGACCCGACCCGGCAUGGUCCAUUUGGGUUUCAUGGCAUCAUGCAUUUGGAUAGACUAUAAUGAGAGAAAUAACACUUAAUGUUUCUUAGUAUAUUAUAAGUUCUAAUAUAUUAAUAAGAUUAUUUAAUUAGUAUUGAUCAAGAAUUAAUCUAGGAUUAAUUAUGUGAUCAAAAGAAGACUAAUUAAAUAUAUGGUUUGAUUGUGUAAAUCAUCCAUACUUGUAUAAUGGGCUAAUGCUUCAUGGAUUGUCAAGUUCGGCUAAAACCCAUAGGAUGCUCCAUGGAUGCUCCAUUGUGUAUUUGAACCCAUGGAUCCAAGGAAAUGGAAAUCCAUGACAAUUAGGGUUUACCCUAAUUGUCACUAAGUAUAUAAUCAUCUUAUUGUUGACAAAAUCAGCACUAGAUUAUAUGUGAAAGGGCUAGCGGAUUUUUAUGAAGUGUAGAUUUCUCUCUAAUCUAUUGCAAGUGUAUUUGGUGUUGUGUGAACCAUUUGAGGUGUCACAAUUGGGGCACUAGGCACUCAAGCUUCCUGGAGACAAUCUACAUCAAAGAGGUAUGUAAUUCUAACUUGAGAUAUUCAUAUAAAUCAAUGUUAUUAUGCUAGUUAGGAUGAAUACCUUGGAAAGUUCAUAUUUGCAUGUAUAAUAGAGAAAACAUAGAUCCAAGGUAUUUAGGGUUGCAUGUACACUUAGGCGUGUUAGAAUGCUCAAAACCCAAUAGUGGUAUCAGAGCCUAGGCUUGUUUUCAAUUAUACUUGAUGCAAAUUGCUUAACUCGCCGAGUCCAUGAAGAAAAUCAUCCUACUCGUCGACUUCAUAACCUGACUAGCAAUCGUAGCUCCUAAAGCCGCUGUCGAACUCUGAACAAAUCAAAUGACACGUCCAUUAGAUAAGUGAUCAUAUAUUCCUCCAUUCUAGAUAUCAUAUGGACUGAGUCAUGGAUUAUAAUCAUUCUCUCUGUCCAUUUGUUGUUUCUCAAUUUUUGAUUUAUGACAACUGACUAAUUGAACAAAUCAAAUCAGUCCAGGCUUGGCCAAGCACUUAAGGGUGUCAUCACUAAAUGAUCGAGGGGCCCACAUAUAUCGCUUUUAUCUUUAUGAGGUAAAAGGAAUGGAUAAACUUCGACUCAUAUGCUUGUACUAACUACUUGUUGAAUCAUACACAAAGGCACGUUUUAUAACAUCAAGUUACUGAUGCGUUUUUGUGUAAUCAAUGUAUAACCAACUCAUAGUCAACAACUCAUAUCUCUAGGUUUGAAGAAUAUAAGAUAUUAUCGUCUUAGGAUUCACUCAAGUUAAAAUCCAUGAAGUGAUUCAAAUGAGCGUGGGUUUAAUCCAAUACUCAGAGCCUAUGAGCACUCAUGAAUGUUGUAGUGACCAUUGCUAUGUGUAAUGCACCUUAGACAAAUCUUACAUGCCAGAUUCGUGACAGUCUUAAUUCAAUACCCACUUCCAACGUAUGACCGACUGUGGAGAGUUUGAAUAAAAUAAUUAUUCUGGAAGUCAAACAUGCAAACUAAUAUACAAGAAUAAUGCUAAUCCUAUAUGGCCCCAACACUUUGAGUGUAAAUAAAAUCCCUUUUAUCUAAGCACCAUAUUGAUUACCCAUUAUUCAUUGUUUCGAUUUAUCAACUUAACACUUGAAUUGAAUCAAUAGUCAUGCCAUGCACCAAGGAUGCAUACUAUGUUUACCUAUGGUCCUUUCUUUUGUGAAAUAGAUCAAUUGAACACGACUCCAAUUAUGCUCAUUUCACAAUUCCAAUCUCUUUUUGUAAAUGUAAGAAUACCAAACUCUUGCCAUUUACUAUAAUAUGUUAGAUUCUAAACUUAUAUGCAAUGAUUCUCUUGUAAUGACUAUGCACAAAAGUCAAAAGGACUUGGCAACAGACAUUACAAAGUAUUCCAAUGGAGAUCAAUUCCAUGCAAAUGAAGUCUCAUAUUCAAAGUACAUUCCCUUGAACAUCCUUCUUUGCAUUAAGUUUUCUUAUCUUACACAGAUUCAGAGAAUAACUUCCACCUAUGGAAAGAAUUCCAUAUUACCAUUGUGACUAUCACUUGUAAACAAGAGUUGCCUCUUUUCAGAAUAUUUCAAUAUGGUCUUUUCCAAAGUUUAACACUAUACUUCCAAUUGUCCACGAGCAACCAAUCAUUGGUAAACCUCAGAUCGUCUUCGACAAUUGCUUAAUCAUUUUAUUCAUAUCCAGUUUUAUUCCUUUUUCUUUUUUAAUGCCUUAAGCAUUUGGAAAUUUUAGAAUGGAUGUAAUCGAUCCUAUACCCAAAGCAUAUGGGACGCGAUUCAUGCUAUAAAAAAAAUUUAUUUUCCAUGUUCUCACAAUUCGAAUAUGAAGAGGGAUGUCAUAAUCAGAAUCGAAUUUUGAGAACACCACAUAUAUAAAAUUUCCUUAUGUUGAACCAUUCCAACAUCACAUUCAUAUAUAUCCUUGACUAAAGCUGAUUAAAAUCUCAAUCUAAGUUUGUAGAAUUGGAAUGAAGUAUAAAAUGCUCUCUCUUAAUUAUUGUAAAACAACUUUUCAAACCCGAAUUGAAACUUUUGUUUUCUAUAAAUAACAUUGCUAACUUGCAACAGUUAACAUAAUAAUCAUGCUCCCACUAACAUGAUGAUUAUUAGCAUAACACUUAUGCUCCCACUAGCUUUGACAUGUACUCAGAAAUCAGCUGGACUUUUGGAAAUCAAUACUUUAUUGAAUUCCUUACCAAAGUUCAGAUUUCUGAUACGAGAUUGGUUUGAUAAGAAUGUAUCAAAAUCAUACACCUUUCCUUAGAUAGCUCACAUGUGUGUCUAAACAAUUUUAGAACUAUGAAAAGGGAUGUCGUAAUCAUAUUCUCAAUCGUUUAGACCUUUUCCAUUUCUCACAAGUCUAUGUUAGUGUGCCGGUUAACCACACGCGCUCCACUAACGACUUUGAGAAUGCAAAUAUUACACUUGCUAUCUUCUUAAAAUCUACUAUGUGAAAGCAUUUCCUCACCAUCAUUUUCAUAAAUCGGAGAGAAACUUUAUGACACUUAGAUUUUAUGGUUUAUGUGUUCCUAUCCAUGUGAAUUUGUCAUAACCAUAAUCAUAAGACAAGGUUAGUGACAAAUCCAAAAUCAUAUAGACUAAACUUGCCCAAUCUCAUUUUCUUGCCACCUGGCAACAGAAGUGCCUACCAAUGCUUCUAGGUUGUUAUGCAAACAAUUGAGAACUUAUAAAACUCACAAACAUAGUUAGCUUAAACUAGAAUGGGCACAAAAACAGAAAUAUGUCAACACAAUGGGUUACAAACCUCAAGUUGUGUACUAGCGAUUAAACAAUGGGUUUUAUUAUUGAUUAGCUCUUGAAACUUCUCUAAGAUAUUUAAGACUCCCACUGUCUUCUUGACAUAUGACAUUCUCUUGUCAAGAACCAUUCCUUGACAAAACAAAUAUUCAAGAGUUAGUGCGGAUUCUUAUCAAGAUAAAAACUUCUCACAAUUGGUUUUAGUUGGUCUCUAUUUUAUCCAAAACAUCACAACUUACCAAUUUCAAAUGUACAAGAGUAAGAAACGUGUUACUCUUACAUUUGACAAGUGUUAGAAACCUUUCUUAAAAUUAUGUCACUCAAGUUACAAUCUUAGAGUAUGACUCUGAGACUUGUUUUGGAAUGAAGUACGAUUUAUUGUCACACCCCAAAACCUAUAACGGUGGAAACGUUCUGGGGCGGAGGACGUCUUGUACAGUAUCACAACAUAUUAUAAUAGUAAACAAGUAAACAACAUCAUCUAUUGCAUUAAAUAUAUAAUUUUAAUAUAAGUGUUCUGUAAUAUAUAAGACACCAAAAUAUGAAUCAAAAUAAAGAUGAGUCUUGAAUGCGCUCCAUCUUCUCAAAAGCUGGCAUUGGUACCUGUCUACUGAUGACCUGAGAAUACAAGUUAUUUUGAAAGAGUUUAUUAGCAUUAAAGCUGGUGAGUUCAUAAGUAUUUAGUGUUUAUGUUUGUAUCAAAAUGUUUGAAACGGUGUUUGAAGUACGAGUUUUGUAAACGUUUGUAAUAAAAGUAUGUGAGUGUUUGUAUCUCCUAGAAAAUCCUAUAUUUUCUACUAAAAGUAGCCUUCUACCAAGGCACAACUGUUUUGUAUGUUUGUUUCUUGUAAAAGUGUGUAAUUGUUCCCAAGUGUAACUAUCAUUAUCAAAAUAUAGUUUGUACAUUAAUGUUUAAGUGAAAUGAUCACCAAAUAAAUGUAAAGGGUAAAUUAAUGUAGUACUGUAGUGUUGUAUUAUAGGAACUACUGCUGUACUAACUACCUUAAACCGGAUUUAUAUCAAGGUAUUAUGUGAUUAAUUGUACCAUACUAUCGACUGGAAAACACGACAACGUAAGUCGUCAAAAGGUAUGACAUUUGGCACCCGCAGACCUACGGGUUCGGCUGUAGCUAGCAGCAAGGUGUAGGAUAGUCAAUCCAGUAUAGAUCUAUACGUAAACUCACGCUCUCCCUCUAGUAGACUCUGGUUACAACUCGGGCCAAGACAAUGAAGGCAUGCUCCGAUACAGUGGAUCACAUUUAUGUUAAAGUAUACUUGUAUAUGUAAUGUAUUGUUUCUCAUCAUAGUAUCUUUGUAUAUGUUCUCAUCAUAGUAUAGUUGUAUAUGUUCUCAUCAUAGUAUAGUUGUAUAUGUUCCCAUCAUAGUAUAAUUGUAUAUGUUCUCAUAGUAAUAAGUAAUGACUCAUGAAUGAACUGACUCUUGUAUGCUUCGUUGAACUAGAAGUAGUAAGUAGUAUAACUCUAAACUAUACCUAUUAUAGUUUAUUAGUAAACUUGAUUGAAUGAUUGAAUGUACUGAACUGAGAGAAAAGUCUUUAUAUCUAUACUGUGACAACCCGGAAUUUCUAACUUGUGCAUUCCUCAAUUUUUAUUAAAGAUAGCCUCGUUUUGCUAUUUUAUAAUAAAGUUUUGGGUCUACUUGGGUGCUUAAGGCUUAGUAUAACCUAGAUAUAAGUCUUAGGAAGGGUGAGAAUGUGUGUAGCAUCACAAAAUCGGGCCAAACACACCCAACAAGGUGUGUGCGGCCGCACACCCGAGUGUGCGGCCAGCCAGCCGCACACAACCAACCGCACACCCCCCUAGCCUCACACUCCAGCCUAUAUAAAGGACCUAAGUCAACCUUACACCCUUUUUCACACUCCUUCAAGUUGGAACAUUCUCUCUCAAGAGCUCUUCAAGUUUUCCUCUCCAGCCAUCAAAAAAAGUAAGUAAACACCCUUAGAUCUUUACUAAAACAUGUUGGAAAGCCUUUGCCUUGAGUUUGAUCCAUGAAAUCAUCAUUUUAGAUGAUCUUUAUGUGUGUACGGCCGCACACACAUCUUUUGGCCCUAAAAUGGGCCUAUACACUCACCCAAGCUUAACAUUGACAAAAAAAACCUUCUUAGAAUCAUCACAAAGCCUUGGAAAAUUGAUUUGGCCAAGUUUGUAGGAGUGUGUAUGGCCGCACACACCAUGUGCAACCGCACACACCCUUUUUAAGGUCCAAAAUUGCCCCAAACUCCCAAUCCGGCCAAGAAAUUGUCGAAACACCUUCACUAGAUAGUCCCAAAUGCUUGGAACCACGAUUUUGACACACUCCAUAGUGAGUGUGCCCCACACACAUAAAAACCAUGUUUUAGUGACCUUACACCCCAAUAUAGGGCUAUACACUCCUUAUGUGCAACCAUAUGAGUUGAUAACACUUAAUUCUAAGUGUUUCACAUCCCUAGUACAUGUCUCUAUCAUCAUUAGUGGUGAUAACUACUAAUGUAUUCACACAUAUGUAAUUAUACGUUAAAUAGGAUUUACUUGCGCUCAAGGCUCCAUUUGACACCCAACAAUCCUAUAGCGAUCUUUCAUUCGUGUUACUCACUGCAGGUGAGUUUAUACCCCUUAAUUGACGUUUUAAAUGUUUUUAAAUGAUUUUAUGGGGGGGGGGGGGAAUACAAGUUGAACCCAACAUGUUAUAGAUUCAAUCACAUGUGAUUAUGACUUGCAACCAAAAAGGAUUUUCUAUAAUUUUAACUGCUUUGCCAACAAAACUGCUCUAAAUGUUUAUCAAACUCAUUUUUCGUGUUAAAUUGUUAUAAAAAUAUUUCCAAACUCUUUUAAAAAAAAUCUAUUUUGUUCCCAAACUAUAUCUACAUUAAUAUAUUUAUAUAAGUAAGACUUGAAGGACUUAGGACUGAUAGCUCGCCUAACUUCCUGUUCUUGUUUGAUUGUGGACCUAGGGUAUCUUGUUAUCUGUAUGAAUGUCGUUGAAUUCUUAGUUAUAUAUCAUAUAUAUUUGUGUUGGAUAUAAAAGGCUUCCCUUUAGUUUAAUACCUUUGUGUAUGAAAGGCAUGCAUCUAACACCUCUAUUUAACUAUAAUAGGCAUAGUUAAGGUUUACCGCUCAUUAUUGCUAUUACCAUGACACUCACUAUAGUUAGUAAUGUUAUGAGGCUAUACAUGUUGAAUACUAUACAAGGAGAAUACCAUAUAGUAUACAAGAGAACACUCAAUACACUAUACCAAAGAGUACAUUAUACUAUAAUACAAGAGAAUAUACUAAAACAAGAUGUGACAUGCUACUCCUCGUUACGACACUUCACUGUGCCAUUGCCGUGUAACCAGAGUCUCCUGGAGGGAGAGCGGGCAUAUUGUGUGUAGAUCUAUACAGGACAGACACUCCCACAUCCUGACUGCUAGCUACAGUCCGAGCCGACUAGGCCCAGGGGUGACAAAAUGUCACCAUACUACGUGUGAUCUGGAGGGUCAUCAGUUAUUCGAUCGUCAGUCAGCAUGGUUACAUACGAGUCCACAUUUAGACCUUUAAUUAACACAUUAAAAAUUAAAGGCAAAACAGAAUCCCCGAGGUGUAUUGUGCAUUUAAUACUACCUGGAGUCUGCAUUUUUAUUUCAUUCAUCCGAAAGUGACACGGCUGGGGUAACACAUUAUUUUCCCAUUUACUUUACAUGAAUGUAGUCUAAAACUAUACUUUAUAACUGACAUUAUUAUUGGGAAAGCUUUUACACUCUCAAGGAAUCAAACUUACAAAUAACCAAGUCUUGGUAGAAGACUACUUUUACUGGAAAAUAUAGGAUUUUCUAGGGAUUGUACUAUUUUCAAACUUUGAUAAAAGCUUUCAUUUCACAUGAUCGUAAACACUUUUAUACAAGCAAUGACAAUAAAUACUUAUGAACUCACCAACUUUAUGCUGAUGCUCGUUUUCAAAAUAACUUGUAUUCUCAGGUCGUCAGUAGACAGGUACAGAUACAACUUUUGAGAAGAUGGAGCACAUACAAGACUCUUUUAUUUUGAUUAUACUUUUGGUGUUUAACAAACUGUACAGAACACGCUUGUAUUACAAUUAUUAUAAUAAUACAAUGGAUGUCGGUUGCUUGUCUUUACUAUUAUGCAUUGUUAUGAUACUGUACAUGACGUCCUCCAGCCCAGAACGUAUUCCGCCGUUCUGGGUUUUGGGGUGUGACAUAUACAUAUAUACAUAAUAUAUAACUAAGGGUUCAACGACCCUCUGACAAACAACCGAGUACUUUAAGACCACAACCAAACAAGGAUAGGAAGUAAAGUGGGGUAUCUCUCCUAAGUCCUUCAAACCUUAUUUAUAUAACUAUAUAUGUAAUAGACAUGGUUUUAACAAUAUAUAAGUUUGAAAACUGUACAAGAAAGGUUUUGUAUACAAAAGUGAAUUUGAUAAAGAGUUUGAUAUGUAAAAUCGUUUGAUAAACAGUUUGAAGUCAUUUGAUUGGUAAAACAGUUUAAAGUAUGAAAAUCCAUUUGUAUGUUAGUUAUUAAUCACAUGUGAUUGAUAUAAUAACUAAUCAUGAUUUAACUUGUAUUCCCCCCAUAAAGCAUUUAUAAACAUUUAAAAUCAUUUAAAAGGUUAAUUAAGGGGUAAGAACUCACCAGCUUUAAUGGUGAUAAACUCUUUCAAAAUAACUUGUAUUCUCAGGUCAUCAGUAGACAGGUACCGAUGCCAACUUCUGAGAAGAUGGAGCGCAUUCAAGACUCAUCUUUAUUUUGAUUCCUGUUUUGGUGUCUUGUAUAUUACAGAACACUUGUAUUAAAAUUAUAUAUUUAAUGCAAUAGAUGAUGUUGUUUACUUGUUUACUAUUAUACUGUGUUGUGAUACUGUACAUGAUGUCCUCCGCCUCAGAACGUUUCCGUCGUUCUAGGUUUUGGGAUGUGACAGAUUGGUAUCAGAGCAUUGUUUAUAGUGAAUUGAGUAUAUCAACCCAUAAAAGAUAUACUAACUAUAAACACAUUGGGAUUAAAACACUCUGACCAAGAGUCUAUACUUUUAAAUAAUAAAAUAUUUAAUUAAGUAUGCAAGUCUACAUUCAUACUAAAAUCAGUGUCACAAUGACAAAUACAAAAGUAUUACGAUUGUUGAAUAUAUCACAAUUAAGCUCGGGUAUGUAUGGUCAGUCCUGGGAAUAGCAUAGCCUACUCAAGUAUGCUGGUCCGAGGAGUGAUUAGCAUAUGCCCUAGAAUGGUUAUGAUAUGGCAACAAGUCUAAAAACUUACCAACACUACUACAAUGAAAGCACUAGAAUAGAACAUAAGUUUAAAAUACUAUAAGAGUAUUUUGUGUUACUAUAAUCACUUACCUAAGAACUAAAAAGGUCUCUAUCAAGUAGGUCAAUAGUCGUUCUGUGGGUACGCUAAGGUUAUAUGAAAUUCAGGUGUUAUAGACUCAGAAUUUGUGAUCUUUGCUUCACUUCGUGUCCUUGUUUGGUUGUGGAUUUGGAGUUAGGACCACUUAUUCGAAGGUGUAUCCUACUUCGAUUUCAUAUAACUGGUAUACACUAAACAAGUAUUGAAAUAACUGAUAAAGAUCCUCUUAUAAUUAUCUUAAAUAGUACGUCUAUUUUUUUAAGAUUCUUAUACCCCUUUUCUCGCGUAGAUUUCAUGGCUGGAUUUCAUCAUGGCGACCUGUACUUUCCACCCCACGGCAAUGCUGGAUGGCUUGAAGAAGAGCCCAAAGAUGAGCAUCCAAUCCCUUUGGAUGAUAACCUCGCAGAAGGCUUCUCGGAUAGAUCUAACUCUGAGCCAGAAGUCAACAAUCUACCCCAAGUAGGUCAAGCCCCAAUUAACAACCCAGACCCGCGUUUCAAGGUCCCACACCCUUGUAGGAAACAAACUUGAAUCGAUGGAAUGACGAAAAAGGUCAACCCUUACCCUACAACGGGGACCGAAGCCUCUACAACAUAUUUGAGGGUGGCUCGGCUGACCAAGACCUACCCAUCAUGGUCUAUAGGAUUGCUCGGAAUGUGGAGCAAGGUCGAGCAGCCAUCGGCCGAGUAGUGGAGAUUGAUGCAAACACUGGUGUCAACAUGGUCUGCAUUCUCCAUCUCGAAGAGGCAAUGGAAAGGACCAAAAGGACUAAUGAGACUCUGCAGCAACAGCUAGCUACCUCACGAGCUGAAGUCACAGAACUUCGAGUUCGCCAAAGGGCUCAUGAAUGACACCUACAAGAAGUGAUCUGUCAGAUGGAAGACCUUAGGGUUCGCUCGGGGAAUUCCCAUCGUCGUUAAAAGAUUUCUAGCACAUCUUUUCUUUUGAUUAAGGAAUAGCCUUUCGUAUUUGUGCUCUAUGAAGCACUUGUCUGUAAAAUUUUCUAUCUUUCAGUACACUAUCUAGUCUACUAAACUGUCAAACAGUUUUCCCUCAUAUGGCUUGAUGUAAGACCUACUGUUAGGUCGUUUUUCCUGAAUUCCUUUACAUCAGUAAUACCAUUAAUAUUGGCAGUUAUCUAAUCUGUUGGAAAAAUAUGUACUCUUGUGUUUUUCGUACACUUCUGCUAUACUGCUAUUUCAAAACACACACUCAUUCAACUGUUGGACUAUGACGAUUUAGCACAUAGAACACUCUCAUUAUGCUUACUAUUGAUUCUAACCACCAUGUACAUUUCUACUUUAAACUUAUAGUUGAAAGAUGCCUCCUCGCAAAUCAACAAGGCGUAAUCUUCCACCUCCUCCACCAUCACAUCCUUUGGCAAUCGGUAUCGCAGCUCUGAAUGCUGCAGUAGCUGCAGCAGUGGCAACUGCCAUGGCUCAAUAUCACUCCACUGAUGCCAGUAGAGGUGGAACCCCUGUUAACUCUACUGAAGGUGAACUCAUUAUGCGCUCGAGAGAGUGCUCCUACAAGGACUUCACUAACUGCAAGCCAAAGUCCUUCAAGGGGACUGGUGGACUUAACUAACAGAGUCGGUCAUCGAAAUUUUUUCCUUCCCUGCCGCGAGUAUGGUCAAGUUUGCCGCUUGCAACUUUGAGGAGAAAGCCCUGAAAUGGUGGAACAGCCAUGUCAAGUGACUCACUCUUGUAGUGGCAAACGACAUGGGUUGGGAAACUAUGAAAGACCUCAUGAUUGAGGAGUACUUCCCGAGGGGCGAGAUCCAGAAGUUGGAACAGGAGCUGUGGAGCCUAACCAUGAGGGGCUCCAACAUAGUCGUGUAUACCGCUAAAUUCAGUGAACUGGUGGCCCUCUGUCCCAACAUGGUUCCCACUGAAGGGAAAAAGAUCGAGAGGUACAUCUGGGGGCUGGUGCCUCCGUAUCAGGGGAAUGUCUUAUCUUCACACCCUGCUACUUUCGACAGUGCCAAAUAAUUGGCACAAUGACUAAUCGAUCAUGGAGUCCAAUCCCCAUCAUCAACAACAACCCUGGCCAUCUCAGAACCCUCCAAAACCGCUGACAAUAAGCGGAAGUUCAGGGAUGACAAGAAGAAACAACGAGCUGCCAAAAAGCAGCAUAUUGUGGCAGUUCAUGUCGCGAUAACACCCGCUGCUACUGUUCCAGUGAAGCAGUACACAGGAAGUUUACCAAAGUGCAACAAAUGCAACUUCCACCACAACGGUCCCCCACCGGGAAAUGCAGUGCUCCAACUGCAACAAGAAAGGACACAAUGUCCGUUUCUGUAAAUCUCCGGCAAAGCCAAUCAUCCAAGUUCCCGACGCUGGCGUGGGCCAGGCUUGCUAUGGAUGCGGCAAUGUGGGCCACUAUAAAAGCGACUGCCCCAAAGCAAGAAAUGCUGAUGGAGCAGGAAGAGUUUUGGCUAUAGGCCACGGGGAAGCAGUUGUCGACCCAAUGGUGGUAACUGGUACGUUUCUCCUCGAUACCUCUUAUGCAUGCAUACUGUUUGAUAGCAGAGCGGAGAGAAGCUUCGUAAAUCAUAAAUUUACUCGCCUACUUAAACAAAAACCACGCACACUUAAGGAACCAUUCACUGUAGAAAUGGCAAAUGGGAAAACUGAGAGCACGAAUAGCAUGUACAUAGGAUGUACCCUAACUCUAGAUAGCCAUUCAUUUCCAAUCGACCUCAUGCCGGUCUUGAUUAAACGCUUCGACGUUAUCAAUGGCAUGGAUUGGUUGAGUCUUCAUCGCGCCGAUAUCAGGUGCUACGAGAAAGCAGUCAGUCUAAAUCUUCCGGCUAAUGAAAUUCUCAUCAUCUACGACGACAAAUCCGGUACGAGUCUUCGUAUUAUCUCAAGUAUUCAAGCACAAAAGUAUCUACGUAAGGAAUAUCGUGCAUUCCUAGCUCACGUUGCCCAUAUGAGCCUAGAAACGAAAGAACUAAAGAACAUCCUAGUAGUGAGUUCAGAAUCGACUUAGUCCCAGGAGCUACCCAGGAGCUACCCAGUAGCCAAAUCGCCCUACCGCUUAGCACCAGCAGAGAUGCAGGACUACAAGGAUUACCUCCGCAACGACAAGUCGAGUUCAGAAUCGACUUAGUCCCAGGAGCUACCCAGGAGCUACCCAGUAGCCAAAUCGCCCUACCGCUUAGCACCAGCAGAGAUGCAGGAACUUGUUCGUUAACUUAACGAACGACUUAGUAAGGGCUUUAUUAGACCAAGCUUCUCACCCUGGGGAGCGCCGGUCUUGUUCGUUAAGAAGAAAGACGGAUCAUUCUGUAUAUGUAUCGACUACAGAGAACUCAACAAACCGACGGUCAAAAGUCGUUACCCUCUGCCUCGCAUAGAUGAUUUAUUUGACCAACUGCAAGGGGCGAGUUACUUUUAUAAAAUUGAUCUAAGAUCCGGAUAUCACCAUUUACGAGUGCUAGAGGAGGAUGUCCCAAAGACAGCCUUCCGAACUCGUUACAGACACUACGAGUUCGUGGUGAUGCCAUUCGGAUUGACCAAUGCGCCUGCAGUGUUCAUGGACUUAAUGAAUAGAGUGUGUUGUCCUUACUUGGAUUAGUUCGUCAUCGUUUUCAUUGAUGACAUCCUGAUCUACUAUCGAAGUAAGGAAGAGCAUGGCGAUCACCUGCGACAAGUUCUAGGAACUUUACGAACGGAGAAGCUCUAUGAGAAGUUCUCUAAAUGUGAAUUUUGGAUCCGAAGAGUCGAAUUCUUAGGAAACAUGGUUAGCAAAGAGGGAAUCCACGUGGACCCAUCCAAAAUUAAGGGCAUUAAAAACUGGUCAGCACCGAAGACGCCUACAGAAAUUCGUCAAUUUCUAGUUCUCGUUGGAUACUACCGCAAGUUUAUACAGAACUUCUCCUGGAUUGCGAAACCUUUUACUACACUGACCCAAAAAGGAGUGGCCUUUGAUUGGGAAGAGAAACAAGAAAAAGCGUUUCAAGCGCUGAAGCAAGCCUUAUGCACCGCGCUGAUACUAUCCCUCCCCGAAGGAAUAGAAGUCUUCGUUGUAUACUGCGAUGCAUCCAACCAAGGGCUCGGUUGUGUUCUGAUGCAACGAGGUAAGUUCAUCGCCUAUGCCUCGAGACAACUGAAGACACAUGAAGUCAACUAGACCAUGGAAGAUCUUGAGUUGGGGGCAGUUGUGUUUGCCCUGAAGAUCUGGAGACACUACCUGUAUGGUACGAAAAAGCACCAUCUUUACAGAUCACAAGAGUUUAGAACACAUAUUCGAUCAGAAGGAGCUCAACAUGAUACAAUGACAGUGGGUCGAGCUACUCAACGAGUAUGAAUGCGAAAUUUGUUAUCAUCCGGGUAAAGCCAAUGUAGUAGCAGACGCCCUAAGUUAGAAAGAAUAUUCUGGUCGAAGGGUCAAAUCGUUGACAAUGACUAUCCAUUCACACUUGUCUACACAAAUUCAGGAGGCUCAACUUGAAGUCUUGAAACCUGAAAAUGUGGCGGCUGAAUCCCUUAGAGGAAUGGAUAAGAACUUAGAUGCCAAGGGUGGCGGAGCCUUAUAUUACAUGGACCGGAUCUGGACACCGAAACAUGGUGGCUUCUGAGACUUGGUGAUGACCGAGGCGCACAACACUCAUUAUUCCGUCCAUGUAGGUUCAGAUAAGAUGUAUUUGGAUCUUAAAAAGUUAUAUUGGUGGCCUAACAUGAAAGCAGAGAUUGCUACCAUCGUAAGUAAAUGCCUUACUUGCGCAAAGGUUAAGGUCGAGUACCAGAAACCCUCCGGUCUUCGACAACAACCGGAGAUACCAUAAUGGAAGUGGGAGCAGAUCACUAUGGAUUUCAUAACCAAGUUUCCCAAGACAACGGGUGGACUUGAUACCAUAUGGGUCAUCGUCGAUAGAUUGACCAAGUCUGCACACUUCCUGCCUAUCAAGGAAACUGACAAGAUGGAGAAGCUUACGAGAACAUACAUUAGGGAAAUCGUAAAACUGCAUGGUGUUCCUAUAUCCAUUAUCUCCGAUAGAGAUAGUAGGUUCACUUUGAGGUUCUGGCAGUCACUACAAAGUUCCCUAGGAAUGAGGCUGGACAUGAGUACAGCCUACCAUCUUCAGACCGAUGGACAAAGUGAGAGAACCAUCCAAACAUUGGAAGAUAUGUUGAGAUCCUGUGUGAUCGACUUUGGGAAGGCAUGGGAUACUCACUUACCCCUUGUCGAAUUUUACUACAAUAACAGUUAUCACACGAGCAUCGAGUCUGCUCCAUUCGAAGCCCUUUAUGGCCGGAAGUGCAGAUCCCCUCUGUGCUUGGCUGAGGUGGGUGACACCCGGUUAGCUAAAGGAUGAGUUCCUGACAGCAUUCUCACAGGUCCGGAAAUCAUUUGAGAAACGAUGGAGAAGAUCGUUUAGAUUCGUGAACGAUUGAAAGACUCUAGAGGUCGACAUAUAAGCUACGAAAAAAGUGGAGGAAACCUUUGGAAUUCCAGGUGGGAGACCGCGUUCUUUUGAAAGUAUCACCCUGGAAGGGCUUGAUACGCUUCGGAAAGAACUGGAAGCUAAAUCCAAGAUACAUAGGGCCUUUCGAGAUUCUCGCUAGAAUCGGCCCUGUAGCUUAAAAACUCCAUCUACUAAACAAACUUAGUAACGUACAUUCUACAUUCCACGUCUCAAACUUGAAAAAGUGUCUGUCCGACGAGACUCUUGUAAUCCCACUCGACGAGAUCGAUAUCAACGAGAGCCUCAACUUCGUGGAAGAACCUGUGGAGAUAUGGACCAUGGGGUCAAGCAAACGAAACAAAGCCGUAUCCCGAUUGCGAAGGUUCGCUGGAACGCCAAGUGAGGACCGGAAUUCACAUGGGAGCGCGAUGAUCAAAUGAAAUUGAAAUAUCCUCAUUUAUUCGCUUAGUUAUUUGUAACUAUUUUGUUUGCUUAAACUCUAAUUUCAGGACGAAAUUCCCUUUAACGGGGGGAUGAUGUGACAACCCGAAAUUUUCAUUAGGACAAAGUCUAAAGUCAAUCACUUCAAAUAAAAGUCAAUUACAUUUCUAAUAAUUGUUAGCCAAUUUAAAAGUUCAUUUGAGUGUUUUUAGUGUUUAUUCUUUAAACGAACGAAGGAAAGGAAGUACCGCCUCGGGUUUUGAAGUAGCAAACCCACCGAUUGCACCCUAACAAAGAUUUCACGGCCAAAAUUUUGGAGUUUGGGCCGUAAACUCUCCCAUGGCCAUGAACUCAUGCCUUAGGCAUGAGUUUACUCCCCAAACUCUUCAUUUCUAACUUUCAUUCUCAAGAAAACCCUCUAUUCUCUCUCAACUAUCAUCCCGUUCUUCACCCGAUCUUCUAAAAACAUAAGUGUUUCUCGACUUGAUUUUUUGUUAUAACCUAACAUGUAGUAGUUAUACAUCAUUUCAUCCAUUCAUUAUUGAUUUAUAGCUAGAUCUUCAAGUGUUCCUCAAAACACCAAGAACACCAAGAACACACACUAGUGUUCUUGGACCAUAAACACCAAAUCAAGCUUCUAUCUUGUAAGUACACUUGCCCUAGCUUCUUGUGUGCUUAAUAUGAACUUUAUAACACUUGAAAAUCAUAAAAUAUCAUAAGAACAAAGGAGUUUAUGGCCAAGGAUGUUACUGGGCCGUAAACCCCUCUUAAGGUGGUAAAAUGGACCUUAGUCCCUUCCUAAGCCUUGGAUGCCAACCUUGAUCCUUCCUAGAAGUGUUUAAGUUCUUAAACAACAAUCAAAACAAGUCCCCAAGAGAGUUUACAGUCGUAAACACCUAAGGAUAUGGUCCUUUGGCCGUAAACUCCACAAGGUAGCCUUAUUAUGCCCCUAAUGCUUUCCUAAGGCUUGGACUUGAUUAUUUGAUACCCAACCAUGACUUGUAAGACCUCAAAACACAUUAUGGCACUUAGUACCAUGAGUUUAAGGCCAUAAACUCAUGGGGAAAUGGUCAUGGGCCAUAAACUCCAUAAGGAGUGUUUCGUAGGCCAUAAACUCCAAUGUCAUGCCAUACAACCCUUAGAUGCAACUCUUUGGUACCCAUAACACUUGAAUCAAAAUGUUUCCAUGACCUAGGGUGUCUUAACUUGAUUAAUUAGUUGUUAAUUUACUAAUUAUAUACAUAUAUUUUUAUUAUAUGAUAACUAGGACCAUUGUGAGUGUUCAAGUCCUCACUUGACACCUAGCACCUUGUCCGACACUUCCGAUCAAACCACUCACUACAGGUGAGUUCAUACCCCUUAAUUAACCUUUUAAAUGAUUUUAAAUGUUUAUAAAUGCUUUAUUGGGGAGGGGGUGGUAAUACAAUUUGAAUCAUGAUUAGUUAUUAUAUCAAUCACAUGUGAUCAAUAACUAACAUACAAAUGGAUUUUCAUACUUUAAACUGUUUUACCAAUCAAAUGACUUCAAACAGUUUAUCAAACUAUUUUACAUAUCAAACUCUUUAUCAAAUUCACUUUUUUGUACUAAACCUUUCUUGUAUAGUUUUCAAACUUAUAUAUUGUUAAAACCAUGUCUAUUACAUAUAUAGUUAUAUAAAUAAGGUUUGAAGGACUUAGGAGAGAUAACCCACUUUACUUCCUAUCCUUGUUUGGUUGUGGUCUCAAAGUACCCGGUUGUUUGUCCGAGGGUCGUUGAACCCUUAGUUAUAUAUUAUGUAUAUAUGUAUUGAUAUAAAGACUUUUCUCUCAAUUCAGUACAUUUAAUCAUUCAAACAAGUUUACUAAUAAACUAUAAUAGCUAUAGUUUAGAGUUAUACUACUUACUACUUCUAGUUCAAUGAAGCAUACUAGAGUCAGUUCAUUCAUGAGCCAUUACUUAUUACUAUGAGAACAUAUACAACUAUACUAUGAUGGGAACAUAUACAACUAUACUAUGAUGAGAACAUAUACAACUAUACUAUGAUGAGAGCAUAUAAAACGAUACUAUGAUGAGAAACAAUACAUUACAUAUACAAGUAUACUUUAACAUAAAUGUGAUCCACUGUAUUGGAGCAUGCCUUCAUUGUCUUGGCUCGACUUGUAACCAGAGUACCCUGGAGGGAGAGCGUGAGUUUGCGUAUAGAUUUAUACUGGAUUGACAAUCCUACACCUUGUUGCUAGCUACAGCCGAACCUGCAGGUCUGCGGGUGCCAAAUGUCAUACCUUUUGACGACUUACAUUUGUCGUGUUUUCCAGUCGAUAGUAUGGUACAAUUAAUCACAUAAUACCUUGAUAUAAAUCUGGUUUAAGGUAGUUAGUAUAGCAGUAGUUCCUAUAAUACAACACUACAGUACUACAUUAAUUUACCCUUUACAUUUAUUUGGUGAUCAUUUCACUUAAACAUUAAUGUACAUACGAUAUUUUGAUAAUGAUAGUUACACUUGGGAAAAAUUACACAGUUUUAUAAGAAACAAACAUACAAAACAGUUGUGCCUUGGUAGAAGGAUACUUUUAGUUGAAAGUAUAGGAUUUUCUAGGAGAUACAAACACUUACAAACAUUCACAUACUUUGUAUGUUUACAAAAAUCGUACUUCAAACACCGUUUCAAACAUUUUGUUACAAACAUAGACACUAAAUACUUUUGAACUCACCAGCUUUAUUGCUGAUAAACUCUUUCAAAAUAACUUGUACUCUCAGGUCAUCAGUAGACAUGUACCGAUGCCAGCUUUUGAGAAGAUGGAGCGCAUUCAAGACUCAUAUUUAUUUUGAUUCAUAUUUUGGUGUCUUAUAUAUUACAGAACACUUUUAUUAAAAUUAUAUAUUUAAUUCAAUAGACGAUGUUGUUUACUUGUUUACUAUUAUAUUGUGUUAUGAUACUGUACAUGACGUCCUUUGCCCUAGAACGUUUCCGCCAUUCUAGAUUUUGGGGUGUGAAAUUUCUCUUUUGAUUUAACCAAUUAAAAAAUUCAUGUUUCCAAUCAAAUUUUGCUUUACUAGUUCCCUAAAUCAUUUCUGAUUUAACAGCAUCAAGCAAAUAGGUAAGAUGAUUAAGGGUCAUAUCUUGAUCUGUCAUCAGUGUUUGACUGAAGAACCAAGUCAACAGCCAGCUACCUCAAGACUUCGACACCCGACUAUCUCGGCUUGCCAAUAGGGACUGAGUUACCUUGAACUUUUAAAGUAUUUGAUCUUGUGGGAUAGGGAGAAAAUUAGAGGAGGUGGAGGAAGUGAAGCAUGAUUUCCAGUCCCAUUAAUGCACAACAAAGGGAUUAAUCUUUCACCUUGAUUGCCAUGUGGGAUAUCAUCUUUAAUAGGAUAGCUUGUUCCUAAAGAUUUGGGAUGACCAUAGUUGUCUUAACUAGAUAUCUAUAAUGGAAGAAAUUCAAGUUUAGUUGAUUUAAAGUCCUUAAUAAAACACCCAAUAUGAAAUAUUAAGGCUAGGACCCAACAAACUAUUUUAUAACUUGGAAGAGGGAUGCCGUAAUCCAAGCUACAAAAUAUUUGAAGGUAGGUAAAUUACGAUUUACCAAUUCCACCAUGAAAAAAAAAUAAAUUAUUAAGUUUUAAUUGGGUUUAAAACUCCUAGAUCUUUUCAGAUUCAUUGAACUUUCAAUGGCAUGUUUAAAUCUCGAUUGUGCCCUCUCAAGUUUGUGUUUGGGAUGCCGAGGAUCACAUAAAAGGUGUGUAUAACCAUGCAAAUUGACUUAGUACCCUUAAUUUUAUCACCCAAUCGAUUUGCCGGUUAACCACACGCACUCCACCGGUCUAUGAUAAAACUUAAGUUACCCUUUGCCACACAUUGCCAGUCCCAAGUUAGUGUGCCGGUUAACCACACACGCUCCACUAAUGAACUAACAAGGUGCAAAGUGUAAUUUCAUGGGUUAGCACCAUUUCACAUUUUCCUAAGUAACUAAGAUUGGGAAUCUAUAAGUGUUUAGUUACUUAGUAUUUAUCAUUAUACUUUUAAUGAAGUGAGAAUUAUCAUCCUUUCCUACCCGUUCGACUAACGACCCUCCACUAGUCAAGGAAGCGGUGGGUGAGACUGGACACCCAUUAAACUGUCAUUUUAAAGGCAGUAACCUUAUACCCCCUUAGAGACUGGUUUCGUAAAUGAGGCCUACUAACGGUAAGAUUGACUUUACUCUUAUACAUAUAUAUAUAUAUAUAUAUNNNUAACCAUUAAAUUUUAAUAUUAUAAUAGUAUAAGGUUGAAUUUUAAACUUUUAAAAUUCUAGGGUUUAAUUUGGAAUUAAAGUAUACAUGGGGAGGUAACUUUGCAUAUUCCCAAAACUUGAGGGCAAGUUUUGAAACUAUUGAAAACCUUUCAUAUUCAUAACAUAUGAGUUUAAUGUAGGUUUUUAAAACUUUUAAUGGAGAGACUCUUGAACAUCCAUAAUUUGGGGACAAGUUAUGGAGUUCAUAAAACUAUUUAUGAGGAAAAGACUCUUUAAGUUUCUUAACCUAUGGUUUAAUAACCUUCUUUAAUGUGACUUUUUAUAUAACUUGAGGACAAGUUAGAAAAACACAUUUUAUGAAUAAAUCUUUAGAUCAAUUUGGAUCAAAAACAACUAUCACAAACAUAUCUAGCAAUAUUCAUAAUCUUGAUUAAACUCAUAUGAACAAGACAAUUCAAAUCAAACUAAUACAAAACAUGAAACUUUUGACAAUUAGCUUUUGAAUAGGAUUAGAAUGAUCAUUACCACAUCAAAAACAGGUUUAUAGGUUAAAAAACAACUCAGGGUAAUAUUUCUAGUCCAAUUCUAGCCAAAAACCUCGAAAAUAUGCUGUCUGGGGCUCCUACUCGUUGAGUGUAUGAACCUACUUGACGAGUAGGAUGAUUUUCUUCAUGGACUCGGCGAGUCCAGUGCCCAGAAAGCCAGAAAAUUUAUUUUUUCUGCAUUUUUCAGCACUUUGCAUCAAGUAUAAUUGACAACAAGCCUAGGCUCUGAUACCACUAUUGGAUUUUGAGCAUUCUAAAACUCCUAACGUGUUCAUGCAACCCUAAAUACCUUGGAUCUAUGUUUUCUCUAUUAUAUAUGCAAAUAUGAACUUUCCAAGUUAUUACCUAUAACUAGCAUACAAUUGUCAUAUACUACACAAGAAUCUAAUUAGGAUAACCUACCUUGUUGUGGAACUUGAAGUCUUGAUGUAUCUAGCCUUAAGAGCUUAGCCCCAAUAGUGUGGAAGCCUCAAGUGGAAUCACAACACUUCAUGGACAAAUAAUGAACUUGAGAGAGAAUCUCCAUGCACCUAAACUCCAUGAACUCUAAGACUAUAGUUACUCACGAUAUUUGGGCUAGAAGCAUCUAUUUAUAUGUGUGAGGAAUCCAAGAGUUAUAGGUAUAACACAAAACCCAAAUCCAUACCCAUGGGUUUAAUGAUCCAUGGUUCAUGUGGCCCAACUCCUUAUGUAUGCAUACAUAAACUUGGUCUAACAUGGAUCAUAAGCCAACCACAUAUAAAUAUAACUAAUUAACAUAUUUAGUCCCCAUAGAUUUAAUUAGUCUCUUUUGAUCACUAAAUUAUAUCCAAAUUAAUUCUUGAUCAAUACUAAUUAAAACACAUGAUUUCAUAUUAAUAUAUUAUAAAUUAUAAUAUAUUAAUAAAUCAUAUCCAACAUCUUUUCUCAAAAGUCCAUCCUAACAAAUCGCCCUGAUGAUAUGCAACCCAAAUGGACCAUGCUACUCUCGGGUCAAGUACAUAACAAUAAUAGUUAUGGGCUUAGACAUCUAAUCCAACAUUUUCCGGGUUGAAAAUGUUGAAUUCGUGGUGGUUGGGUAGCUGAUAUCUGUGGGUAUAGGUAUAGAUUGUGAUAUUUACUCUAGAAGGGGCAUCAGUUGAAUUAUCAACCAUUUGCAGAGUCGGUAUGAGUAGUAUUGUAUGGGUGGAGAUCAGUAGAGGGUGAAGCUUCGGGCUUUCGUGAACGAGUUUUCAGUCGUUGACGAUUCCUCCGUGUUUCGAAUUGGAAGAUAGGAAUAUUUCGAGUUUUCGAGUAGCGUAAGAGGAAGAUCAGUGGUUAAGGCAAGUCAUUGUGGCAUGUUGUGAUGGUGUACCGAGGUAUCAGAGUGAUUCUUGUUCCAGUGGGAACACAUCAGUUACUUGUCGUUGGAUUGGGACUAUCUAAGGGUGUAUAUGUGCUAAGACUUGUGCCUUGCCUAUGAGAACUUACAUCAGGAGUGGUGAUGCAUAAGCUGGGUGGGUGUAAGCACCUAUCUAUGUUGAUCUGCGGAGUGUGAGUUGGGGACUCAGUAUAGUGAUGACUUGAUGAUGAGAUCAUGGGAUGAUAAGAGAGCAAGUGGAUCCGGGUGGGAGUUAUCGCUUGGGAUUAGUAGGAGAAACCAUGGAGUGAGCCCAUGGUGAGUUAGAAGAGAGAGUGUCGUGAUACUGUGGGGAGUCGUAGUAUUCACUGGAUAGCGGGAGGGUGCUGUGAUACUGCGGGGAGCUGUAGUAUUCGCUAUUCGGCAAGAGAGUGUUUUGAUACUGCAGGGAGCUGUAGCAUUCACGAGUCAGUGAGAGAGUGUUGUGAUGCUGCAUGGAGCUGUAGCAUUCACGGGUCAGUGAAAGGGUGUCGUAAGACUGCGGGGAGCCGCAGUCCUACUAGUUAGAGUAUGACGCAGAGGAGUUCUUCGGCUUGGGUAGCCUUACCACUUGAGUCUUCGGGAACUUGGUUGCCAAACCAGGGGUGAGACUAGGGUCUCCACGACGGUCGAAAAUUGAUAUAUCCCGGGUUGGGAAGGGAUUAUCGUAAUCUGAAGGAAUUGAAGAGAUGGUGUGUGCAUAAAUUCAUGAAAUUUGGGUCAUGAGUUGAGUACCAGAUUGGAAAUGAGUGGUUCCAAUUCUGUUGUUGAAUCAGAAUCCCGAGUUGAGUUGGGUCCAUUCGUGUAUUGAGUAAGCAAGAUGAUGUUUUAGAUUUUUAAAUGGGUUUCAUUUUGAGGGGUAUUGAUCGCCAUCGGAUGUCUCAGACCAUGGUAGGUCAGUUUUCGUUGGUAUGGGAAGAACUGCGAGACACAGGGAACCAACAGAUGGUAUACGACAGAGGUCAGAGGUGAGACGACUUCGUAGGGGUUGUAGCAUUCACUUGGGGUAAAGCUAUAUUCGUGACUAGUGUGUCACAAUGAGUCGAGAUAGUUUGUGAGAAGGAAGCCGGUAAAUUGUUUUAUUAGGUGUGCAAUGAGUAACCAUUGGAGGUUCAACUAUUGGGUCGGAGUUGACCUGGUGCUUAGUGUUAGAAGGGAUAUUGAGAUAAACUGUGGCUUAUGAUUAAGAGUGUUAGAGCGUUGUUUUGAGCUGAUUUGACCGCUUUCUUGUACCUAAGGGUAGAGUUUUCAGGAUCAUUCCUUCAGAAGGGUUCUGAUAGUUGUUCAGGCUGUGGGUCUUUUUUAGGGUAUGACCUUUCCGUUCCUUAUGAGUUCGAUAUGGAUCAAUUAGAGAAUCAUAGUUGGUAAGGUGUUCUUAGAGUUACUUAAUCGAUGAGCGGUUAACAUGAUAUUUUGCGAGGAUGGUAUGGCAGGGAGACACACCACUAGAGUUUUGAAGUUAUAGAGAGUCAGAUCGAGCAUCGCAACGGUAGAUAGGCCUGUCCUUUUUUUCGGGUUUGGGAGUUCCUGUUGGUAUUUAGGUGUCGCUAGAGGAAGAUAGGUUUGUGGUAGGAUAUUUUUUCGGUGGUGAUUUUUGGGUUGUUGGGUUCGAUCUUUGUGAUGUUGAGGAGUGAUUUCGAGGGCAAAAUUUAAUUCAAGUGGGGGAGAAUUGUAACAUCCGGAUUCCCAGGUAUAUUAUUCAUGAGUUUAAUGUUGAAGUUUAUUGAGGGAAUCGACGAGUUGUGAGUCAAACUCGUCGAGUAGAAUCGUGUUGACCGCGUGGGAUUAAUGAUUGGACCCGACGACUCAGAAAGCCGACUUGCCGAGUUGGUGUUGGGCAGAGAGACCCUAAUUUCUCAUGGUUGGGGGCCUAUAUAAGAGGACUUAUGCCUCAUUUCUGUCACCCCAGCUGCCUAAGGUUCCUGUGUAAAACCCUUAACAUAUGUAGUGAGCUAUGAGGGUCUUAAAAGCUAAACUUGGAGUAAACUAUUGCACCGCUUGAGUAGAUGAGGAGAUUAUCCUCCAAGAAAGCAAAAGAAUUGGUUAAAUCUUGUGUAUCUGUUGGAUUAGGUAUCUAAGCCCAUAACUAUUUCUGGUAUUUACUUGACCCGGUUGGCUUGGUCCAUAUGGGUUGCAUCUUCAUCUCAACUAUUGGAUAGACAAAAUGAGAAAAAGGACACUUAUGAUUUGUUAGUAUAUUAUAAGUUCUAAUAUCUUCAUAUGAAAUCAUAUUAUGUAAUUAGUGUUGAUCAAGAAUUAAUUUGGAAUUAAUUUUGUGAUAAAAAAGAGACUAAAUAAAUAUAUGGGGUUUGAUUUGUAAAUCACUCAUUCUUAUAUAUAGUGGGCUUAUGGUUCAUGAUUCAGUAGAUUGGGCUAGGACCCAUUGGGUGCUCCAUGGAGGUUAUAACCCAUGGAUCAUGGGGAAAAUGAAAAGACAUGCACAUUCCGGUUUACAUGGUGUAACCCUACAUGUGACACAUUAUAUAAGAAGCUCCAUAGCUAGCAAAAUCGGCCACUAAUGCAAGUUAAGGAGGGCUAGCCGAUUUUGUGAUCAAAGUGUUCUUCUCUCAAGUUAUUCCAAGAGUUGUGGUGUUGUGUGAAACAUUUGAGGCAUCACACUUGAGGUGCUAGUCUCACAAAGUCUUAAGGAAUCCAAGCAACUACAAAGGUAUGUCAUUCUACUAGUCUUUUUAUAUUACACGUACCCCAUGCCCUGCUACUUAGGAUGUAAACCUUGGAAAAUUCUUAUUUGCAUAAAUAUUAGAGAAAACAUAGAUCCAAGGCUUCUAGGGUUGCAUGUACACCAUAGGGGUGUUAGAAUGCUCAAAACCCUUUAGUGGUAUCAGAGCCUAGGCUUGUUUUCUUUGUAUUUGAUGCAAAUUGCUUGAAAAAGUCGAGAUUUCUGCAAUCUGGUCAGUGAACUCGCCGAGUCCAUGGCAAAAUGCAUCCUACUCGUCGAGUAGGUUCUUGUACCCGACGAGUAGGAGCCCCUGUGUGCAGAAUUUGAAGUUUUGUUGCUGGAAAUGGACUAGAAACAUUACCCUAAACUGUUUUGGACUUUUAAAACGUGUUUUUGAUGGUGUAAUGUCUAUGCUAAUCCAUUUUCAAUGGUUAUUAUCAAAAUUUCAAGUUAUAUAUGUGUUUAUAUGAUUCUUGAAAUUAUUGAUAUGAAUGUUCAUACUUACGAGUUUUGGAAGAUCAUAGGAAUUAUUUGCAAAUUGUUUGUUAGUGGAAUUCUUGAUUUAAAUGUCAUUGAUGGCGUCCAUAAUUUGUCCUCAAGUUAUGGAUUACCAAAAGUCACUUCCUUAAAUUGUCAUUAAAGAGACAUAGGUUACAUAAAAUGAAGAGACUUCAUUUUAACAAACGAUUAAACUCAUAAGUUAUAAAUAUGAAAGGUUUUGAAUAGUUUCAAAACUUUCCCUCAAGUUUUGGAAUUCGUAAAGUCACUUUAGAAAACUUUAAUUCCAUACCCUAGAGUUAUANNNNNNNNNNNNNNNNNNNNNNNNNNNNNNNNNNNNNNNNNNNNNNNNNNNNNNNNNNNNNNNNNNNNNNNNNNNNNNNNNNNNNNNNNNNNNNNNNNNNNNNNUUACCGUUAGUAGGCCUCAUUCACGAAGCCGGUCUAUAAGGGGGUAUAAGGUUGUUUCCUUUAAAAUGGCAGCUUAAUGGGUGUCCACUCUCACCCACCGCUUCCUUGACUGGUGGAGGUUCGUUAGCCGAACGGGUAGGACAAGGAAUACAAUCCUCAUUAAAAGUAUAAUGAAAAAUAUAAAGUAACUAAACCUUUUAUAAAUUCCCAAUCUUAGUUACUUUAGGAAAAUUUGAAAUUGGUGCUAACCCAUGAAAUUACACUUUGUAACUUACCAAGUUGUUGGUGGAGCGUGUGUGGGUAACCAACACAAUAACAUGGACUAGUAAGAGUGGAAAAGGGUGACUUAAUAUUUAUCAUAGAUCGGUGGAGCGCGUGUAGGUAACUAGCACAUUUAAUAGGUGAUAAACAUUAAGGGUACCAAGUAAAUUUGCAUGGUUAUUCACACAUUAUUUGUGAUCCUUGACAUCCCAUUCACAAACUUGAGAGGGCACAAUCGAGAUUUAAACAUGCCAUUGAAAAUUUCAAUGAAUCUUAAAAGAAUCUUGGAGUUUCUAUCCAAUUAAAACCUAAUAAUUCAUUUCAUGUUUUCAUGGUGGAAAUUGGUGAAUCGUCAUUCACCUACCUUUAAAUAUUUCAUAGCUUGGAUUACAGCAUCCUUCUUCGAAGAUAUAAAAUAUUUUGUUGGGUCCUAGCCUUAAUACUAUAUUUGGGUGUCUUAUUAAGGAUUCUAUAUCUAAUAUAAACUUGUCUUUCUUCUUUUCAGAUGUCUUCCAAUAAUGCUGCUUCUGGCUCAAACCAUACCGACUCCUUCUCUCUCAUGAACCUUUGUGGGAGAGUCAUCUUUGAUGGUUUAAACUUUAAUGACUGGAUUAGGAACAUCAGGAUGGUCUCUCGUUACGAGGACUAGGAAUAUGUCCUCCACAAGGAGCUGAAGGAAAUUGAUGAGUCAACUGCUACUCCAGAGGAGAUCGCUGACUUCAAGGCACAUGAGAGAGAUGAUACCAAAGUGGCAUGUAUCAUGUAGGCCACAAUGAAAGCUGAACUCCAGAAGUCCUAUGAGGACUUUUACCUUUUUGAGAUGCACAUGGACUUGAUGGACCGCUACCAUCAAAGUGCUCGUCAAGAGAGGUAUGAAAUCAUCUCUUCCAUGAUAACAACCCGAAUGAAGGAUGGUGAACCCAUCAUGGGCCACAUGCAGAAAAUGCAAAGGUAUAUGGACCGUUUAUUGAAGCUGAAUGUGAACUUCCCUUAGGAGUUGGCUAUUGAUAUCAUACUGCGCUCCUUACCUUCUUGUAAUGAUCAAUUCCGAGUGACAUAUCAAAUGAACAAGGAGGAGGUCACACUCAGCAAACUUCAAGGGCUUUUGAAGACUGCUGAAAUUGGUCUUAAGGCAAAAUCGGUUGUUUUGGCAAUCAGGUAAUCGGGCAAAGUAGAGGGAAGAAGAGGAAGACCCCUCCGAAUGGUACCAAACGAAAGUCUCUUGAUGGCUCCUCUUUAGGUGGAACCAAAGGUGGUUCCAUCACUCCUUCUUCCAACCCAAAAGAAGCUCAAUGCUUCUAUUGUCAGGAAAAAGGGCACUGGAAACUAAACUUCCCCAAGUACCUGCAAGAUGUUAAAUAUGGGAAGGUCAAACCUACCCAUGCAGGUAUUUACACUAUAUUGUCUAAUAACUCAUCAAAUUCUACUUCUUGGGUUCUUAAUAUAGGUUCUGGUAUUCAUAUAUGUUCUUAUUUAUAGGGCCUAAGAAGAAGUGAGGGUGUGGAGCAUGGAAAGAUAAACUUGAUCAUGGGGAUUAGAAAAGCUUCACCUGUUACCAAGAUUGGAGUUUAUUCUUUGUUGCUAGAUAAUGGGUUAGUGUUAGAUUUGAAUAAAUGUUGUUACUCUACUGAAAUUGUGAUAAAUAUUAUUUCCUUUCAUGGUUUGUACAAACAAGGAUUUACUUUUUCAUUUGAUAAUGAAGUUGGUGGUAUUAAUGAUUUUUAUAAUAAUGUUCUUUAUUUUAAAGCAUUACUUUGUAAUUGUGUAUAUGAAACUGUGUCGGUUGUAGAAAACUUAGGAAAUAAUGUAUUAUAUAUCGAUUCUUCCACUAGUUUGGACAAAGCAUCCUUGUGGCAUUGUCGUCUUGGACAUGUCAACAAGAAGCGCAUAGGCCAACUCGAUAAAUAUGGAGUUUUGGAGUUGUUUGCCUUAAUGUCAGAUUAUAGUUGCGAGUCUUGUUUACUUAGAAAUAUGAUAAAGUCACCCUUCACUAGUUCUUGUGCUAGGGGUGAAGGUUUGUUGGACCUCAUACACAUAGAUGUGUGUGGACCCUUCAGAACUGCCACAAGGGAUGCUAACCGCUUUUAUGUCACUUUUACAAAUGAUUAUAAUGGAUAUGGUUAUGUCUACUUAAUCAAGCAUAAGUCAUAAACUUUUGAAAAUUUCAAAGAGUUUAAAAAUGAAGUGGAGAAUCAGCUGGGCAGGAACAUUAAGAUGCUCCGAUCCGAUCGAGGAGGAGAGUAUUAGUACAAAGUUCCUUGACUAUCUUAAGGGAUGUGGAAUUGUUUCACAAUUGACACCUCCAAGGACACCACAGUUGAAUGGUGUGGUUGAGAGGCGUAAUCGGACUUUGUUAGACAUGGUUUGUUCCAUGAUGAUUCGAGCUUCGUACCAAUCUCAUUCUGGGGGUAUGCCUUAGAGACUGCCGCCCAUAUCCUAAAUCUAGUCCCUACCAAGAAGGUUGCCAAAACACCUCACGAGAUGUGGACUGGGAAAGUUCCCAAUUUAUACCACAUCAAGAUUUGGGGUUGCAAAGCUUUCGUGAGAUGAGAGACUUAGGAAAAGCUUGAACCUCAAAGUGAGCGAUGUAUUUUCAUUGGCUACCCACAAAAUUCUUUUGGUUACCUCUUCUACAGACCCAGUGAGAAUGUGGUCUUUAUGGAAAGAAUAGGGGUCUUUCGUCAGAGAGAAUUCAUAAGCCAAGGAAAUAGUGGGUGGAAAAUUGGUCUAGAAGAAAUUCAAGAGUCAAGUGGUGAAGGAACCUCAAACCCUAGCAAUCAACCUGAGGAGGAAACUCAUGUUGAUGAGUCCGUACCUCUGAGGCGUUCCACAAGAGUUAGGAAUCCGCUAAGAAUUAUUAUGGUUUUCAUAUUAAUGCGGAAGGUGAUGAAUUUAUUAGUGAUAGGACACUGUUAAAUCUGGAUGAGCCUAACAACUUUAAGGAAGCCAUGUCAGGACCUGAGUCCGCCAAAUGGAAAGAGGCCAUGGACAACAAGAUUUAGUCCAUGUAUGACAAUCAUGUUUGGAACUUGGUUGACAAUGUACCAGGUCGUAAGACAGUCAGGUGCAAAUGGAUCUUCAAGAAGAAGACCGACAUGGAUGGUAAUGUACAAACUUAUAAAGCGCGACUGGUUGCGAAGGGCUUUACUCAAACUCCGGGAGUUGACUAUGCCGAGACCCUCUCACCAGUAGCAAAGAUUAAGUCUAUUAGGAUCUUGCUAGACAUAGUUGCAUUUCAUGAUUAUGAAAUAUGGCAAAUGGAUGUCAAAACUGCUUUCCUUAAUGGAAAGUUGGCUGAGGAUAUUUACAUGAGUCAGCCAGAGGGUUUUGUCGAUGCAAAUCACCCUAAUAGAGUGUGUAAGCUUGAGAAAUCCAUCUAUGGAUUGAAACAAGCAUCUCGCAAUUGGAAUCUUUGUUUCGAUGAGAAAGUCAAAGAGUUUGGUUUUCCAAGGAGUGAAGAUGAGUCCUAUGUAUAUGUUAAGGCUAGUGGGAGUAUAGUUAGCUAUUUGGUACUGUUUGUGGAUGACAUACUACUCAUAGGAAAUGACAUCCCACUCUUGCAAGAAGUUAAAUCGUAGCUUGGAAAGUGUUUUUCUAUAAAAGACCUUGGAGAAGCUGCAUAUAUCCUAGGAAUAAGGAUAUUGAGAGAAAGAAGUAAAAGACUAAUUGGACUUAGUCAAGGUACCUACUUGGAUAAGUUGCUGAAAAGGUUCAGCAUCCAGAAUUCCAAGAAAGGUGACUUGCCGAUCCAGACUAACGCCAAACUGAGUAAGACUCAGAACCCGAGUACAAAGGCUGAGAUAGCUGAGAUGAGUCAAUUAUUAUAUGCAUCCGCUGUAGGCUCGAUCAUUUAUGCUAUGACUUGUACUCGCCCUGAUGUGGCCUUCACUUUGAGCAUGGUCAUCAGAUAUCAAGGGAAUUCGGGCAAGGCUCAAUGAACUGAGGUGAAAAAUAUUCUCAAGUACCUACUACGUACUAGGUGUUGGAUUAAUGUCUAAUUCCAUAACUAUAAUUGGUAAGACUUGACCCGACCCGACAUGGUCCAUUUGGGUUGCAUGGCAUCAUGCACUUGGAUAGACUAUAAUGAGAGAAAUAAGAAACUUAUGGUUAUUAAUAUAUUAUAAGUUCUAGUAUAUUAAUAAUAAAAAUAAUAAGAUUAUUUAAAGAGUAUUGAUCAAGAAUUAAUCUAGGAUUAAUUAAGUGAUCAAAAGAAGACUAAUUAAAUAUAUGGGUUGAUUGUGUAAAUCAUCCAUACUUGUAUAGUGGGCUAAUGCUCCAUGGAUAAUUAAGUUGGGCUAAAACCCAUAGGAUGGUCCAUGGAUGCUCCAUGGUGUAUGUGUACCCAUGGAUCCAAGGAAAUGGAAAGCCAUGACAAUUAAGAGUUUACCCUAAUUGUGUAACUAUAUAAGCAUCUUAUUAUUGAGGAAAAAUCGGCCACUAGUGAUAGUGAAGAAAGGGCUAGCCGAUUUUGAAGAGUGUAGAAUUCUCUCAAGUCAUUCCAAGUGUUUUGAUGAUUGUGAUUCCAUUUGAGGUGUCACACUUGGGGCACUAGGCACUCAAGCUUCAUGAAGACUUUCUACAUCAAAGAGGUAUGUAUUCUAUCUUGUUAUAGUCAUUGUUUUGUAUGCUAGAUUAGGAUAAUACCUUGGAAGUUCUUAUUUGCAUGUAUAAUAGAGAAAACAUAGAUCCAAGGUAUUUAGGGUUGCAUGUACACUUAGGAGUGUUAGAAUGCUCAAAACCCAACAGUGGUAUCAGAGCCUAGGCUUGUUUUCUAGUUAUACUUGCAAAACUGCUUAAAAAAUCGAAGUUGUUGCUGUCUGAUCAUCAGAAUCGGUGAUUCCAUCAGGAGACUUGGCGAAUCCAUGCCUAAAAAGUCAUCAAAUCGAUCGAACUCGCCGAGUUGGUUCAUGCACUCGACGAGUUGGACCCCCAGACAGCAUAAAUUCGACUUUUUUGGCUGGAAUUGGACUAGGAACAUUACCCUAAGAUGUUUUUGAACUUAUAAACUUGUUUUUGAUGUGGUAAUGUUCAUGCUAAUCCAAUUUCAAAGAUAAUUGUCAAUAGAUUCAUGUUUUGUAUUAGUUUAAGGUUUAGACUAAUUACAUGAAAAAGUUUGAUUUGAAUUAUCUUGUUCUUAUGAGUUGCUUAGAUUAAUAGAAAUGUUGAGUGAAAUAGUUGUUUUCAAUCCAAAUUAAUCUAAGAGUUGAUUCUAAAAUGUGUUUUUGUAACUUGUCCUCAAGUUAUAUGAAAAGUCACAUUUAAGUUUCAUAAAACUCAUAAAAGUUGGCAAUGGUUACAAAAGAUGAAGAGUCUUGUCCUUAAGUUAUGGAGGUUCAAGAGUCACUUCAUUAAUAAAUAAAUAAAUAAAGUGUAACCUUAAUUAAUUCCAUAAGUUAUAAAAUAAAGAAAAGUUAAUUCUUUUAUUAGUUUAAAGUCUUCCAUAACUUGUCCUCAAGUUAUGGAACUUGAAGAGUUUUUGGAUUAAAACUACUUUAAACACAUAAGUUAUGGAAUUAAUUAGUUUUGAAUAGUUUCAAAACUUGCCCUCAAGUUUUGGAAUUUGUAAAGUUUUCUCUUAUGAAUACUUUAAUUCCAAGUUAGCCCUUAGAAUUUUAAAAGUUAAAAUUCAACCCUUAUACUUUAUAAUAUUAUAAGUUAAUAAUAUAUAUAUGUAUAAGAGUAAAGUCAGUCUUACCGCUAGUACGCCUCAUUCACGAAGCCGGUCUAUAAGGUGGGUAUAAGGUUGUUGCCUAUAAAAUGGCAACUUAAUGGGUGUCCACUCUCACCCACCGCUUGCUUGACUGGUGGAGGGUCGUUAGCCGAACGGGUUUGACAGGACUAGAAUUCUCCCUUCAUUAAAAGUAUUAAUGAUAAUACUAAGUAACUAAACUCUUAAUAAUACCCAAUCUUAGUUACUUAGGAAAAAUGUGAAUAAGGUGCUAACCCAUGAAAUUACACUUUACACUUUGUCUAAGUCGUUAGUGGAGCGUGUGUGGUUAACCGGCACACUAACUUGGACUUAACAAGGUAGGUAAAGGGUGACUUAAUAUUUAUCAUAGUAUCGAUGGAGCGUGUGUGGUUAACCGGCACAUCGAUUGAGGGGUAAUUUAUUAAGGGUACCAAGUGAUUUGCAUGGUUACUUCACACCUUGUUUUGUGAUCCUCGGCAUCCCAGUCACAAAACCUGAAGGGCACACUCGAGAUUGAAACAUGCCUUUGAAAAGUUCAAUGAAUCUCAAAGAUCUAGGAGUUUCAAAACCAAUUAAAACCUAAUAAUACAUUUCGUUUAUCUUGGUGGAAAUUGGUGAAUCGUCAUUCACCUACCUUCAAAUAUUUUAUAGCUUGGAUUACGGCAUACCUCUUCUAAGUUAUAAAAUAGUUUGUUGGGUCCUAGCCUUAAUAUUUCAUAUUGGGUGUCAUAUUAAGGACUUUAAAUCAACUAUCUUGAAUAUCUCCCAAAAGAUGUCUGGUUUAGACACCUAUGAUCUUCCCAAAUCUCUUGAAACAAGGUUUCCUAAUGAAGAUGAUGUCCCAUGGAUAUCAUACUUCUUCACCUCUUCAAAUUAUUCUCCCUAACCCACAAGUUCUUGAAAAGUUUAAGGUCACUCAGGCCCUAUUAGCAAGGCAAGGUCUAGGUGUGGUCACAUCUUGGAGAUGUAGUCACAUAUUGACAAGCCGGGAGAGUUGGGUGUCAAAGUCUUGAGAAAGUUGGUGGUUCAACUACUUUCUAAGUCACAUAGUGAGUUCUUUUGGAACACCUAUGAAAAAGACUAUGACAAGACCCUUAAUGAUCUUAUCUAUUUGUUAAGAUCAACUUCCUAAAACUUUAUGGACAUUGACAAUGAUGACAUUGGAUAUCCAGUAAAGCAUUCUCUUCCCAAUGGAAAGGGAUCGGCUAUAGUCAACUCGGUUGACCAAAUGGUAAAGAGAAAAGCUAAGUCUGUGAUAGUCCUGUGUACCAUUAUCAAAGGGUCCAUAUGUUUGUAUUGCCAAAGAAAGGGCAUUGGUUGCGAAGCUGCCAAAUUUACCUAAGGAUGUUAAAGUCAAUAAGUUUGACUCUACUUCAGGUAAAAUCCACUAUCUAACUCUGUUAAGUUUCUAUUCUGAGAUUCUUGAUACAUGAUGUGACCGGGUCGCAUGGUGAUGGUUUAAGAAUCAAAGGAAAGUGAAGAAACUUAAAGGAAGAAUAUGCUGAAUCUGAUCGCAUAGAUGGAUUUCUAUCGCAUAGUUUGAAAAAUCGGAUUCUUGAGCUACUUCUUAGGAGUUAUGAGAUAUUGCUUAGGAAUAGACCCAACCCGGCAUGGUCCAUUUGGGUUGCAUGGCAUCAUGCACAAAGUUUUAAAAUAAAAGGAAAUUUUUGAUUUUAUUUAUUUUAAAAUAUCCUUACAAUGGCAUCUGUGGAAAUUUUUGUUGCUUAUAAGAUUCCAUUAGUAGCAAGAGUGGAAGUAUGAAAUUGAUUCUUUCAUUUGUGGUAAUGUCUAAAUUUACCAAAUAAGGAAAGAUUCUCAUCACCCAAGUUUCAAUUGGACCGGAACUUGGAAUCAUGCAAGUUGUAUAGCAUGAUGAAUGAGAACUUUCAAGUUUUGGAAAAUUAAGACUAAUUACUUGUUCACAUGGAUGUGUGAGUCAAGUAAAGGACUUAGGGAUCGAGUACACAUUCUUGUGCACUGAUUAAGUCCACCACUAAAGAUCNUUCUUAUUUGCAUGUAUAAUAGAGAAAAUAUAGAUCCAAGGUAUUUAGGGUUGCAUGUACACUUAGGAGUGUUAGAAUGCUCAAAACCCAACACUAGGGACUGGGUCCGUACACUUGGUGGGAGUGAUGAAUUGAGAUUAGUGGAGUACAGUAAUGCUGGCUUCCAGACUGAUAGGGAUAAUUUGCGCUCUUAGUCGAGUGGGGUCUUUACCCUAAAUGGAGGAGCGAUUACUUGGAAAAGUUCCAAGUAGGAAACAAUGGUGGAUUCAACUUGCGAAUUAGAGUACAUAGCAGCAAGAGAGGCGGAAAAGGAGGCUAUAUGGCUAAAGAACUUCCUUGGAGACCUUGGAGUUGUACCAGCUAUUAAGGAGCCUAUGGAGAUUUUAUGUGACAACGAGGGUGCAGUUGCCUUAGCGAAGGAACCAAGGGAUCACGGGAGAUCCAGGCACAUCGACAUAAAAAAGCAUUUCAUUAGACAUCGGACGCUCUCAGUCGGGUUGGGUCUUUACCCUAAAUGGAGGAGCGAUUACUUGGAAAAGUUCCAAGUAGGAAACAAUGGUUGAUUCAACUUGCGAAUUAGAGUACAUAGCAGCAAGAGAGGCGGAAAAGGAGGCUAUAUGGCUAAAGAACUUCAUUAGUGACCUUGGAGUUGUACCAACUAUUAAGGAGCCUAUGGAGAUUUUCUGUGACAACGAGGGUGCAGUUGCCUUAGCGAAGGAAGAAAGGGAUCACAAGAGAUCCAGGAACAUCGACAGAAAAUACCAUUCCAUUAGACAUCGGAUAGAAGAAGGAAUCCUCGUGGUGAAGAGGGUAUCAUCAGAUGAGAAUCCAUCAGAUCCCCUGAUGCAGGGACUGUGUAUGGUUAAGCAUUUGCAGCAUGCGAGGCGCAUCGGGCUGAAGGAUCAUAUUAGUUUUACAGAUUAGAUAGCUAUCUCUGAAACUUGUAAAAUGUAAAUUGACAUUUGACGAUUGAAUAAAAGCUGUUGAUUACUUAUAAGUAAGGUGUUGCUAUCUUGUGUCAGUUAUUUACUAUUGUUUCAAUUUUGCAUGUUUUGACUUCCAGAAUAAUUUCUUUAUUCAAACACUCCACAGUCAGUCAUUGUUGGAAGUAGAUAUGAAUCAAGAUUGUCAUGAAUUGGGUUUGUAAUUGUGUAUGGUGCUAGACAUAGAAAAUAGUUGUCACACCAUUCAUGAGUACUCGUAUGUUCUGAGUAUUGGAUUCAACCCAUGCUCACUUGUAUCACUUCAUGGAAUUUAUAUCGAGUGAUCGUGAGAUGGUAAUAUCAUAUAAGUCUUCAAACCUAGAGAUACGAGUUGUCGACUAUGAGUUGGUUAUACAUUGAUUGUACGAAAAUGCAUUGGUAACUCGAUGUCAUAAAACGUGCCUUUGUGUAUGAUUCAACAAGUAGUAGAACAAGCAUAUGAGUUGAAGUUUAUUUGUUCCUUUUAGCCCUUGGAGGAUUAAAAGCGAUAUCUGGGCCCCUCAAUGAUUUUGUUUUGACCUAUGGACCGGGCCAGGUCAGAACCAAAUUGAUGUGUUCAGUUCAAUUCUAUGUCAAACAAAUCGGAAAUCAGGAAACAAACUGCUAGACAAUAAGUACGACAUUGUUCCAUGUAUUUGUCCGGCUGAUAUCUAGAAUAGAAGAUUAUAUGAUCCCUUAUCUUAAAUGGCACAUAAUGAUCUCAGUUCUACGAGACUUUGAAAGAGCUACGAUUGUUGAUCAGUUCCUGAAGUCAUACUUGUUGUUAUAGUUAUUAGACUUAUCCAAGUGGGAGACUGUUGGAUUAGGUGUGUAAGCCCAUAACUUUUUUGGUAUGUACUUGACCCGGUUGGCAUGGUCCAUUUGGAUAGACAAAAUGAGAAAAAGGACACUUAUGAUUUGUUAAUAUGUUAUAAGUUAUAAUAUAUUAAUAUGAAAUCAUAUUUUUUAAUUAGUGUUGAUCAAGAAUUAAUUUGGAAUUAAUUUUGUAAUAAAAAGGAGACUAAUUAAAUAAAUGAGGAUUGAUUUGUAAAUCAUUCAUUCUUAUGUAUUGUGGGCUUAUGGUUCAUGAUUCACUAGAUUGGGUUAGGACUCAUUGGGUGCUCCAUGGAUGCUUCGUGGAGGUUAUAACCCAUGCAUCAUGGGGAAAAUUAAAAGCCAUGCAUAUUAGGUUUUACAUGGUGUAACCCUACAUGUGGCACACUAUAUAAGAAGCUCCAUAGCUAGCAAAAUCGGCCACUAAUGGAAGAUAAGGAGGGCUAGUCGAUUUUGUGAUAAAAGUGUUCAUCUCUCAAGCUAUUCCAAGAGUUGUGGUGUUGUGUGAAACAUUUGACGCAUCACACUUGAGGUGCUAGGCUCAAAAAGUCUUAAGGAAUCCAUCCAACUACAAAGGUAUGUCUUUCUACUAGUCUUUUUAUAUUACAAGUAGCCCAUGCCAUGCUAGUUAGGAUGUAAACCUUGGAAAAUUAUUAUUUGCAUGAAUAUUUGAGAAAACAAAGAUCCAAGGUUUCUAGGGUUGCAUUUACACCAUAGGAGUGUUAGAAUGCUCAAAAACCUUCAAUAUCUUCAUGAAAGGGCUGCAAUGGGAGGUAAAAUCUUGCACCUUUCUUAUUUAUUUGCCUAGAUCUCAUGACUAUGGAAGAUUAGGGUUACUUCCACCUUUUGAUGGUACUUCAAGCAUAUAGAGUUAUCAUGUGGUCUAAACCUCAGAUCUGGACCUUGUGAGGUCCCUAGAGUCCAAAGGUCCCAACUUUAUUCAUCCACAUGGGGAUUUUUGUGCUUAAAACCUUGUGAGAGCAUGGUUUGGUAUGUUGGAGCAAAAUUACCAUGUAUGAACGUAAAGAUCGAAGCUUUACAUGACAAAUGAAUAUUCAGAUUCUAGAUCUAGUUUUUGGAGUGGUAAAUCUGUUGGAUUAAUGUCUAAGUCCAUAACUAUAUUUGGUAAGACUUGACCCGACCCGGCAUGGUCCAUUUGGGUUGCAUACCAUCAUGCACUUGGAUGAGAGAAAUAAGACACUUAUGGUUAUUAAUAUAUUAUAAGUUCUAGUAUAUUAAUAAUAAGAAUGAUAAGAUUAUUUAAUUAGUAUUGAUCAAGAAUUAAUCUAGGAUUAAUUAAGUGAUCAAAAGAAGACUAAUUAAAUAUAUGGGUUGAUUGUGUAAAUCAUCCAUACUUGUAUAGUGGGCUAAUGCUCCAUGGAUAAUCAAGUUGGGCUAAAACCCAUAGGAUGGUCCAUGGAUGCUCCAUGGUGUAUUUGUACCCAUGGAUCCAAGGAAAUGGAAAGUCAUGACAAUUAGGGUUUGCCCUAAUUGUAACACUAUAUAAGCAUCAUAUUAUUCACCAAAAUCGGCACUAGUGGGUGUACUAGAAGGGCUAGCCGAUUUCAUGAAGUGUGGGUUUUCUCUCAAGUCAUUCCAAGUGUUUUGAUGAUUGUGAUUCCAUUUGAGGUGUCACACUUGGGGCACUAGGCACUCUAGCUUCAUGAAGACUUUCUUCUCCAAAGAGGUAUGUAUUCUAUCUUGCUAUAGUCAUUGUUUUGUAUGCUAGAUUAGGAUAAUACCUUGGAAGUUCUUAUUUGCAUGUAUAAUAGAGAAAACAUAGAUCCAAGGUAUUUAGGGUUGCAUGUACACUUAGGAGUGUUAGAAUGCUCAAAACCCAACAGUGGUAUCAGAGCCUAGGCUUGUUUUCUUGUUAUACCUGCAAUAGAAGCUGAAAAAACGAAUCUGGUGCUGUCUGGCCAUCAGACUCGGCGAGUCCAUCAGGAGACUCGACGAGUCCAUGCCUAAAAAGUGAUGAAUUCGAUCCAACUCGCCGAGUUUGUUCAUGCACUCGACGAGUUGGACCCCCAGACAGCAUAUUUUCGAGUUUUUUGGCUAGAAAUGGACUAGGAACAUUACCCUAAGUUGUUUUUGAACUUAUAAACUUGUUUUUGAUGUGGUAAUGUUCAUGCUAAUCCAUUUUCAAAGAUAAUUGUCAAUAGAUUCAUGUUUUGUAUUAGUUUAAGGUUUAGACUAAUUACAUGAAAAAGUUUGAUUUGAAUUAUCUUGUUCUUAUGAGUUGCUUAGAUUAAUAGAAAUGUUGAGUGAAAUAGUUGUUUUCAAUCCAUUUUAAUCUAAGAGUUGAGUAUAAAAUGUGUUUGUGUAACUUGUCCUCAAGUUACAUGAAGAGUCACAUUAAAGACUCAUAAAAUUCAUAAAAGUUGGCAAUGGUUACAAAAUGAAGAGUCUUGUGUCAUUGAAUAAUUUUUUAUGACUCCAUAACUUGUCCUCAAGUUAUGGAAGUUCAAGAGUCACUUCAUUAAAGAAAAAUAUGUAACCAUAAUUAAAUCCAUAAGUUAUAAAAUAAAGAAAAAGUUAGUUCUUUUAUUAGUUUAAAGUCUUCCAUAACUUGUCCUCAAGUUAUGGAACUUGAAGAGUUUUUGGAUUAAAACUACUUUAAACACAUAAGUUAUGGAAUUAAUUAGUUUUGAAUAGUUUCAAAACUUGCCCUCAAGUUUUGGAAUUUGAAAAGUUUUCAAGUAUGAAUACUUUAAUUCCAAGUUAGCCCUUAGAAUUUUAAAAGUUAAAAUUCAACCCUUAUACUUUAUAAUAUUAUAAGUUAAUAAUAUAUAUAUGUAUAAGAGUAAAGUCAGUCUUACCGCUAGUACGCCUCAUUCACGAAGCCGGUCUAUAAGGUGGGUAUAAGGUUGUUGCCUAUAAAAUGGCAACUUAAUGGGUGUCCACUCUCACCCACCGCUUGCUUGACUGGUGGAGGGUCGUUAGCCGAACGGGUUUGACAGGACUAGAAUUCUCCCUUCAUUAAAAGUAUUAAUGAUAAUACUAAGUAACUAAACUCUUAAUAAUACCCAAUCUUAGUUACUUAGGAAAAAUGUGAAUAAGGUGCUAAUCCAUGAAAUUACACUUUACACUUUGUCUAAGUCGUUAGUGGAGCGUGUGUGGUUAACCGGCACACUAACUUGGACUUAACAAGGUAGGUAAAGGGUGACUUAAUAUUUAUCAUAGUAUCGAUGGAGCGUGUGUGGUUAACCGGCACAUCGAUUGAGGGGUAAUUUAUUAAGGGUACCAAGUGAUUUGCAUGGUUACUUCACACCUUGUUUUGUGAUCCUCGGCAUCCCAGUCACAAAACCUGAAGGGCACACUCGAGAUUGAAACAUGCCUUUGAAAAGUUCAAUGAAUCUCAAAGAUCUAGGAGUUUCAAAACCAAUUAAAACCUAAUAAUACAUUUCGUUUAUCUUGGUGGAAAUUGGUGAAUCGUCAUUCACCUACCUUCAAAUAUUUUAUAGCUUGGAUUACGGCAUACCUCUUCUAAGUUAUAAAAUAGUUUGUUGGGUCCUAGCCUUAAUAUUUCAUAUUGGGUGUCAUAUUAAGGACUUUAAAUCAACUAUCUUGAAUAUCUCCCAAAAGAUGUCUGGUUUAGACACCUAUGAUCUUCCCAAAUCUCUUGAAACAAGGUUUCCUAAUGAAGAUGAUGUCCCAUGGAUAUCAUACUUCUUCACCUCUUCAAAUUAUUCUCCCUAACCCACAAGUUCUUGAAAAGUUUAAGGUCACUCAGGCCCUAUUAGCAAGGCAAGGUCUAGGUGUGGUCACAUCUUGGAGAUGUAGUCACAUAUUGACAAGCCGGGAGAGUUGGGUGUCAAAGUCUUGAGAAAGUUGGUGGUUCAAUCACUUUCUAAGUCACAUAGUGAGUUCCUUUGGGACACCUAUGAAACAGACUAUGACAAGACCCUUAAUGAUCUUAUCUAUUUGCUAAGAUCAACUUCCUAAAACUUUAUGGACAUUGACAAUGAUGACAUUGGAUAUCCAGUAAAGCAUUCUCUUCCCAAUGGAAAGGGAUCGGCCAUAGUCAACUCGGUUGACCAAAUGGUAAAGAGAAAAGCUAAGUCUGUGAUAGUCCCGUGUACCAUUAUCAAAGGGUCCAUAUGUUUAUAUUGCCAAAGGAAGGGGCAUUGGUUGCGAAGCUGCCAAAUUUACCUAAGGAUGUUAAAGUCAAUAAGUUUGACUCUACUUCAGGUAAAGUCCACUAUCUAACUCUGUUAAGUUUCUAUUCUGAGAUUCUUGAUACAUGAUGUGACUGGGUCACAUGGUGAUGUUUUAAGAAUCAAAGAAAAGUGAAGAAACUUAAAGAAAGAAUAUGCUGAAUCUGAUGGCGUAGAUGGAUUUCUAUCGCAUAGUUUGAAGAUCGGAUUCUUGAGCUACUUCUUAGGAGUUAUGAGAUAUUGCUUAGGAAUAGAUAACAACAAGUUUUCAUAUGGAUUGUAAGGAUAAGUUUUUCCGCAAAGUUUUAAAAUAAAAGAAAAUUUUUUUGAUUUUAUUUAUUUUAAAAUAUCCUUACAAUGGCUUUUGAGGAAAAAUUGUUGCUUAUAUGAUUCCAUUAAGAGCAAGAGUGGAAAUAUGAAAUUGAUUCUUUCAUUUGUGGUAAUGUCUAGAUUUACCAAAUAAGGAAAGAUUCUCAUCACCCAAGUUUCAAUUGGACCGGAACUUGGAAUCAUGCAAGUUGUAUAGCAUGAUGAAUGAGAACUUUCAAGUUUUGGAAAAUUAAGACUAAUUACUUGUUCACAUGGAUGUGUGAGUCAAGUAAAGGACUAAGGGAUCGAGUACACAUUCUUGUGCACUGAUUAAGUCCACCACUAAAGAUCGAUAAGAAGAAUCAAAUUAGGCAGAAGGAUAAAAGUUUCUCAAAUCUGAAAAGAUGGGAGAGUACUUUAGUAUCAGUUUUGUGAUCAUCUUAAUGAUUAAGAAACCAUAUCACAAUUAGUUCUCUAAGGAAAUCUUAGUGCAUUCUUAUGACUAAGAAGAGGAACUUGAAUUGUUGAAAUGGUUAAAUCAAGAAGAUGAGUCAUACUUCGUUCCAAUACAAGUCUUAGAGUCAUACUCCAAGAUUGUCAUUUGAGUGACAUGUCUUAAAGAAGGUUUAAAACACUUGUCAAAUGUAAGAGUAAAAGUUUUCUACUCUUGUACAUUUGAAAUUGGUAAGUUGUGAUGUUUUGGAUAAAACAAAGACCAACUUAGGCCAAUUGGGUAAAGUGUUUUUCUUGAUUAGAAUCCGCACUAUCUCUUGGAUGUUUGACAAGGGAGUCUUAUAUGUCAAGAGGACAGUGGGAGUCUUAAAGGUCUUGAAAGUCUCAAGAAAUAAUCAAGAAUAAAACCUGAAGUUCUUCACUAGCACACGACUUGAGGUUUAUAACCUAUCGUGUUGACAUAUCUGUGCCCAUUCCAGUUAAAGUUGGCUUUGCAUAUGAGUUCUUAGAGUUCUCAGUUUGUUGCAUAACAACUUGGAAGCAAUGGCAGGCCCUUGAGCUGCCAGGUGGCAAGAAGUUAAGAUUGAGUUCAAUCCAUAUGGUUUUGGAUUUGUCAUUAUCUUUGUCUUGUGAUUAUGGUUUGACAAAUUCAUAUGGGUAGGAACUCAUACACCAUAUAAAUCUAAGUGUCAUAAGGUUUCUCUCCGAUUCAUGAAAAUGAUGGUGAGGAAACGCUUUCACUAAGUAGAUUUUACGAAGAUAUCAAUUGUGUUAUUUGCAUUUUCAAAAGUCGUUAGUGGAGCGCGUGUGGUUAACCGGCACACUAACAUGGACUUGUGAGAAAUGGCAAAUGCCUAAGCAAUUGAGACCAUGAUUACGGUAUCCCUUUUCAUGGUUCUUGAAAUUGCUUAGACACACAGGUGAGCUAUCUACGGAAAGGGUGUAUGAAUCUAAAUUUCAGACUGUCCAGCUGAUUUCUGAGUACAUGUCAAAGCUAGUGGGAGCAUAAGUGUUAUGCUAAUAAUCAUCAUGUUAGUGGGAGCAUGAUAAUUAUGAUAAGUAUUGCAAGUUAGCAAUGUUAAUUAUAGAAAACAAAAGUUUCAAUUGGGAAAAAGUUGUUUUGCUAUAAUUAAGGGAGAGGAAAUUAUGCUUCAUCUCAAAUCUAUAAGCUUAGAUCGUGAGGUUUUAAUCAUUUAGUCAAGGAUAUAUAUGAAUUUCAUGUUGGAAUGGCUCAACAUAAGGAAAUUCUGUAUAUGGGUCCAUUAUUUGCGUUCUAAAAUUCGAUUAUGAUUACGGCAUCCCUUUUCAUAAUCUGAAUUAUGAGAACUUGGCAAAUUGAAAUGGAAAUAUUAUAGCAAAAGACUGGUUUAGUCUUUAUGUAAGACAUCAUGAAUCGUGUCCCAUAUGCUUCGGAUAUAGGAUCGAUUACAUGUGCUAUAUUCAUCCGUUCUAAAAUUUUCCAAAUGCCUGGGGCAUUAAGAAGGGAAAAGGUUUAGAACUGGAUAUGACUAAAAGGAUUAAACAAUUGUCGAGGACAAUCUAAGGUUUACCAAAGAUUGGUUACUCAAGGACAAUUGGAAGUAUAGUGAUAAUUCUGGAAGGACCAUAUUGACAUAAUCUGUAAGGAGGCAACUCUUGUUCAGAAGUGAUAGUCAAAAU
rnacentral:lncRNA from 1 species